rnacentral:ncRNA from 1 species
CCUCCGCCCUCCCCGCACAGGAGGACGGAUCGAGGUAAGCCGCGCGCUCUGCCCUGACCGCGCAGGCACCUCCACCGGCCGUCGGGAACCGCACACCUGUCGGCCGUAAGUACUCCGGGCUACGGUGCCGGGCGGGUCGAGGGUCCCGUUCUGCACC